UCCACUCUUCAUUUCUUGUUUCAAUUAUUGAAUUGAAAAAAGUAAUGUAUAGUUAAGAAACCAGACUCUAUUAUUUUGCUUUUGGGAAAAAAAGACAGUUUUGCCACUUCUUUUUUCUAUGGCUGUAAGCUGUAGACUGUAGAUAAAACAUAGUUGUAUCAGUUACAAGUAAGAUUACUAGCAAAAGAGAGAGAGGAAUCAUUCUUGUUUACAUAUCACUCUUAGCAUUCAAAAGAUUUCAGAAAUGGAGGUAGUUGGUGGAGCAUUUCUCUCUUCAGCUUUGAAUGUUCUCUUUGAAAGGCUUGCUUCUCAGAGUGAUCUUCUCAACAUGUUUCGGAAGCAUAAGGAUCAGGUUCGGCUCUUAAAGAAGCUGAAAAUACUUUGCGUGGUCUUCAGAUUGUGCUAAGUGAUGCAGAGAAUAAGCAGGCGUCAAAUCCAUCUGUGAGCGACUGGCUUAAUGAGCUUCGAGAUGCUGUGGACUCUGCGGAGAACUUAAUAGAAGAAGUCAAUUAUGAAGCAUUGAGGCUUAAGGUGGAAGGUCAGUAUCAAAAUCUUGCAGAAACACUAUUGAAACGUUGGAGGAUUUGCAACCUGUGCUUGAGUGAUGAUUUUUGUCUUAACAUAACGGAGAAGUUGGAAGAAACCAUUGAAACAUUGGAGGUGUUGGAAAAGCAAAUUGGUCGCCUUGGCUUAAAGGAGCAUUUAGGUUCGACUAAACAAGAAACAAGAACACCUUCAACUUCUUUGGUUGAUGAUUCUGAUAUCUUUGGAAGGCAGAGUGAAAUAGAGGAUUUGAUUGAUCGCUUAUUGUCUGAAGAUGCAAGUGGAAAAAAUCUGACAGUAGUUCCUAUUGUUGGAAUGGGCGGCCUGGGUAAGACAACACUUGCUAAAGCGAUUUACCAUGAUGAGAGGGUGACGAAUCAUUUUGGUUUGAAAGCUUGGUAUUGUGUUUCUGAGCCAUAUGAUGCUUUGAGCAUAACAAAAGGUUUAAUUCAAGAAAUUGAAUCAUUUGACUCAAAGGAUGUCGACAAAAAUCUUAAUCAGCUUCAAGUCAAAUUGAAGGAAAACUUAAAGGGAAAGAAGUUUCUUAUUGUUCUGGAUGAUGUGUGGAAUGACAACUACAACGAAUGGGAUGACUUGAGAAAUUUGUUUGUACAAGGAGAUGUUGGAAGUAAGAUCAUUGUGACGACACGUAAAGAGAGUGUUGCCUUGAUGAUGGGAAAUGAGCAAAUUAGCAUGGACCAUUUGUCUAUUGAAGCCUCUUGGUCUUUAUUUAAAAGACAUGCAUUUGAAAACAUGAAUCCUAUGGGACAUUCAGAACUUGAAGAGGUCGGAAAACAGAUUGCAGCUAAGUGCAAGGGACUGCCCUUAGCUCUGAAGACUCUUGCUGGCAUGUUACGCUCCAAAUCAGAGGUUGAAGAGUGGAAACGUAUUUUGAAAAGUGAAAUAUGGGAGCUGCCACAGAAUGACAUAUUACCAGCGCUGAUGUUGAGCUACAAUGAUCUUCCUGCACAUUUAAAGCAAUGUUUUUCCUACUGUGCAAUUUUUCCCAAAGAUUAUCCAUUUAGUAAAGAACAAGUCGUUCAUCUGUGGGUUGCCAAUGGUCUUGUACCACAGGAAGAUGAAAUAAUUGAAGAUUCAGGCAGUCGGUACUUUCUCGAGUUGAGGUCAAGAACAUUAUUCGAAAGGGUCCCAAAUCCUUCGGAAUGGAACAUAGAGAAAUUCUUAAUGCAUGACCUUGUCAACGAUUUAGCCCAAAUUGCAUCUUCAAAACUUUGUAUCAGGUUGGAAGAGAGUCAAGGAUCUCAUAUGUUGGAAAAAAGUCGACACUUGUCAUAUUCUAUGGGAUAUGAUGGUGAGUUUGAGAAAUUGACACCCCUCAACAAAUUGGAGCAGCUGAGGACAUUGCUUCCGACAUGUAUUAGUGUUGAUUCUUGCUAUCACCCUCUAAGCAAGAGGGUGUUGCAUAACACACUGCCAAGAUUAAGAUCCUUGAGGGUACUAUCAUUGUCUCAUUACCAUAUUACGGAGUUGCCAAAUGAUUUGUUUAUCAAAUUAAAGCUCCUCAGGUUUUUGGACCUUUCUGAGACAAGUAUUGGAAAGUUGCCUAAUUCCAUUUAUGUAUUGUAUAACUUAGAGAUACUUCUCCUUUCAUCUUGUGGUUACCUUGAGGAGCUACCGCUGCAGAUGGAGAGGUUGAUUAACUUGCGUCAUCUUGACAUAAGCAACACUUCUCACUUGAAGAUGCCGCUGCAUCUGAGCAAGUUAAAAAGCCUUCAAGUGUUAGUGGGAGCCAAGUUUCUUAUAGGUGGUCGCGGUGGUUUGAGAAUGGAAGAUUUAGGUGAAGUACAUAAGUUAUAUGGAUCUCUGUCAGUUGUAGAGUUGCAAAAUGUGGUAGAUAGAAGGGAAGCUAUGAAGGCAAAGAUGAGGGAGAAGAAUCAUAUUGACAAGUUAUCAUUGGAGUGGAGUGAAAGUAGUAGUGUUGACAAUCCACAAACUGAAAGAGACAUACUUGACGAGCUACGGCCACAUAAAAACAUAAAAGAAGUCAAAAUCACCGGAUAUAGAGGAACAAAAUUUCCAAAUUGGCUAGUUGAUCCUUUGUUUCGUAAGCUGGUAGAAUUGUCACUUAGCCACUGCAAGGACUGUGAUUUCCUUGCCAGCACUAGGACAGCUUCCUUGUUUGAAAUUCCUUUCGAUUAGAGAGAUGCAUGGAAUAACAGAGGUGACGGAAGAAUUCUAUGGCAUUUCAUCCUCUAAAAAGCCUUUUAACUCUCUUGAGAAGCUUGUAUUUAAAGAUAUGCCGGAGUGGAAGCAAUGGCAUGUACUAGGAAAUGGAGAGUUUCCUAUACUCGAGAAGCUUUCAAUUGAAAAUUGUCCUAAGUUGAUGGGAAAGUUGCCUGAAAAUCUUUGUUCUCUGAAAGAAUUGAAAUUUCAACGUGUCCUGAACUCGGCUUGGAGACACCCAUCCAACUUACAAGUUUAAAAAGGUUUGAAGUUAUUGGUUCUCCGAAGGCUGGAGUUCUUUUUGAUGAAGCUCAGCUGUUUAGAUCCCAACUUGAGGGAAUGGAGAAGAUUGAGAAAUUAUAUAUUCGUAAUUGUAACUCUCUUACCUCCAUACAUUUUAGCAUUCUUCCCAGUACCUUGAAGGCAAUAUCGAUAUCUGAUUGCCAGAAAUUGAAAUUGGAGGCGUCAGUUGGUGAGAUGUUUCUUGAGCAUUUGAUACUGGAAGAAUGUGAUUCUAUAACUGAGUUGGUCUCAAGAGCAUGUUAUUUGGUUGUACGUAGUUGCCACAACCUUACUAGUUUUUUUUUUCCUACUGCCACUGAAAGUCUCAUUUGCUGCAACCUUACAAUGCUGAAGCGGCUGCCACAACUCCCUCCAUCUCUUAAGGAACUGAAACUGUGGGAUUGUCCAGAAAUAGAGUUCUUUCUUGAAGGAGCAUUGCCCUUCAAUUUAGAAUUCCUUCAUAUCUACAAUUGCACGAAACUGGUGAACGGCCGAAAGGAGUGGCGUUUACAUAGACUUCCCUGUCUCAGACAGUUAGUGAUCGGACAUGAUGGCCAGUGACGAAGAGAUUCUUGCUGGUGAGAAUUGGGAAUUGCCUUCCUCUAUUAGAAUUCUUGUCAUAGUCAAUAUGAAAACAUUAAGCAUCCAAGUUCUCAAAAGCCUCACCUUUCUUCAAAUUCUAUCUAUUGGUGAUUUACCUCAAAUUCAGUCACUGCUGGAAGAAGGGCUUCACUCAUCUUCUUCUCUUCAAAGUCUACGCAUCUUCUCCUGCCAUCAACUCCAGUCUCUUGCCCCCCUGCCAUCCUCCCUCUCUGAGCUGACCAUCCGUUAUUGCCCUAAUCUCAAAUCCCUUCCACCCCUGCCCUCCUCCCUCUCUGAGCUGACCAUCCAUGAUUGCCCUAAUCUCAAAUCCCUUCCAGUAAACGGGAUGCUCUCUUCCCUCUCUAAACUAUCUAUUUCCAAAUGUCCAUUCCUCAAGCGACUCCUAAAAUUUGACAAGGGGAAAUACUGGCCAGAAAUUGCUCGUAUCUCCAACAUAGAGAUUGAUCACGAAUACCUUUAAUCAUUUAAACAAAUGAUUCUGAUAACAAUAUAUGUAAGUCGUUACAGUUCAAGCUCAGGUGGUAAUAGGAAAGUUCUGCUGCUUCUCUAUUGAAUAGACAUUUGCUGAAUGUGGUCUGACAGCAAAAGGUAAGUGAAUAAAGAUAGUUUCGCAGUUUCGUUAGCAUUGACUGUAAACGUUAUGUCUAUACUUUGAACUGUUUAUACAUAAAUCUGUGUGAUCAUUACAAAUGACGUAUAGCUCCGAUAUUAAUGGCAUUUAAUGUUCUUUUCAGAA